UAGCGCACGAUAAUACAGCUAGGGUUAAUUAUUGCUAAUUAUCGUCAUGACUGCAAAUAUAAUUGCUAAAAACAUCACUAUCAUUGCAAACAUCGCAACCACAUCCCCCAUCAACCUCGCUAUACUAAACCCAGUUAAAGAUAACGCCACAGCUGAUUAGCAGACACCUUAACCUAGGUCAAUGCGGUGAUAGAAGUACCCUUCUUGCGACCAAUCAGGCACAACUCCUUAUCCAGGAUAAUCUUCACUACAAGUGAUCGGCAAUAUUAACGCAAAGAUAGGCAUCCUAAACGAUGCCUUUUUUGUACCUAAU
rnacentral:misc_RNA from 1 species